GUUUCAACAACAAUGGCAUGACUGUUACCUUGGCAAUAUGUUGUGUGCUGCCCUCCUGCUAGUACUGUUGGCAUUUGCUACUCAAGGUCAGAAUACAUCAUCAUCAUCAUCAUCUUCAUCACUGCGUCAGUCAGAGUUAGUGGUGGAGCCCCAAAACCUGGCGGUACUGUCUGGCCAGCAGGCCCGCUUCAACUGCAGCACGACCACCUCCUGGAGUAGCAUGCUGUGGCGCUUGGAUGAGAGCACCGUGGUGAUCAUCACAGCGAGUGGCAUAGCGAGUGGCACAGACAACUCAUCGUCCGAGGUAGUUAACUGUUCCACGCCUCAGGUGUCCUGCUGGGAGCUGGUCCUGAAGAAGGUCGUCCGCAUCAACGCCCUGCAGCCCCGACGGGUCACCUGUGAACUUCUGAAUGGGCCGCUGACGACGGCUGCCCUGCACAUCCAAGAGAGAGGCAGUGUUGUGAUGACCGGUAGCAACGCGUCUGUGCCCAGUGGACAGAUGGUCCAGUUCCAGUGCCUGGCCCAUGGCUGGUUCCCCGUGCCCAGCGUCGACUGGUUCAUGUGCGGAGAGCGGCUCCUACCCAGCGCCUUCAACUCCAGCAGUGAGGUGGACCUGGACAGGGGGCUGUACAACACCACCAGCACCCUCAGUCUGGAGGCCAGGUGCAGCGGCAGCGUCGAGUGCCGGGUGUCUGUGUCUGCCAUGGCUGCACCACUCAGUAGAAACAUAUCACUCACUGUUGUGUAUAACAGGGACAACAGUGUGGUUAUAGCGGCUGUGUCGUUUGUGGGCGCCAUGCUUCUGAUCGUCCUCAUCAUCUUCUGCCUACUGUUCCAUCUCAGGAGGAGAAACUUAACAAAAGAGCCCCCUCAUCAGGAGACAGUGAGGACAGACCAACAUCAGAGCAAGCAGAACUCGGUUGCCGCGGAGACGAAGGGGAAAGUGAACGCAGGAUACUCCUCAGAAGACUGCUCAAGUUUUAGUGACACUGACCGCAGUGUCAGCAUACACAGUCGGAGGACCACUGCCAGUACUGCAGAGGUAGCCACCACAUCUGACCAGUUCGGCCUCUCCACACACUUAAAGGCCUAUCCAAAGGUACCCCCACCCCAAGCCUCAUUCCCCAAAAGAUUUGUUAUGCUACGACCAUCAUUAAAGGAAAGACAUCUCCUGAAUCAUCUGCUAUGUGGGUAGACAGACAUCCAAGCUAUGGAUAGGGCCAGGAGAUCAUCUAUGUGGGCUAGACAUUCAAGCUAUGGAUAGGGACAGGAGAUCAUCGGCUAUGUGGGUAGACAUACAAGCUAUGGAUAGGGACAGGAGAUCAUCUCUUGUUCCACUCUCCAUUAGCCCCUCUUAGCUAACGCUCAUCGCUGUGCUCCUGGGUUCGAGUGUUUUUGAGUGAGGCGUCAGUCAUUACCAUUCAAUUUCUUCCUGCUUUAUUCAUUAACACUGGAUUGCCUGUGCAGCCUGGUGUCACAUACAGAAGGUGAAGCUACUUAACCGAUAGCAGCAGAUUACAUGCACAGUUAUUCACUCCUGCAAUGCUUUUAUCCAAAGCGACUUGCACUGCAGCGAAGCGAUAGAUUUAUCUGUUUUUGUGAUCCCUGGGAAGCAGAAGGAUCACAAAAAUGAUGUGCAUUUAUUGUUUUGUUAUGUGCUAAUAAGAAGCUUUUUGGUUGGACAGAGAGGAGUUAAUCAGAGCUAAUGAUCCUGAGGGAGCUUUGAGUUAUUAGAGGCCGGGGCAGACCUCUGAUGGCGGCCGGCUGCAUACGGGACCCUGUUACCAGAUAAUGAGAAAUUGGCCUUUUUAGAUGAAGGCCCUAAAAAAAAAAACUGGGAGACCACUGGCUAUCGAUUGUGCUAUUGAUUUCCGCAAGUGUGUUUUUUAGUGGUCCCUGGAUGACUAUUGAUGAAAAGGGUUUCAAAAAGCACAGAGCUAAACUCUCUGGUCAAAAGAGAGCCGCCCUCUCUUAGGCUGUAGUGGUAAUAACACAGGAUUAGCUUGUCCACGCUCAGAGUGAUGGCGGAGAGCAGGGAGACUUGGACCAGGCGUGAUGCAUCGCAUUCAGAUGAAUCAUUCCAGUGCAGCCGUCUUGUCCGUAAGCUGAGAAGCCCCUGAGGAGUGGCAGUUUUCAAAAUAAAUGAUUUUAAAGUUGUAGUCUGGAGCCUCUG
ensembl:lncRNA